rnacentral:lncRNA from 1 species
UCUGUGCUUAAAGCUUUCAUCGUUUAACUCAUUCGGUGUAUUGAUGUUUGUCUUUAUUGAUAUNGGGACGUACAAUAAUGACAUGAACUGGUGAGUAAUCUCUUGAUUUUGCAAUAUCACCUAGGGAUAGGGAUAGGACGAUCAAUUGCGCUAACUUCUGUUUAUAAUGCUGUAUUAAUUACUAGGGGAGGCUAGGGAUAGAAAGCCAGUAGUUAAUAUUAGGCCCUUUUCGCGAGGGAUCGGGUUAAGGGGAGGCUAAGAAAGUCGCAUAACGAUUGAAUCAAUCAACUAAUAUUCAAGGGUAGUAUGUAAGAGAGAAUGGAAUAGAUGAAAUUGUUAGUACCCAACAACAUCCAUUCAUCCAUUGUUUUUGUUUGUCAAUUGAAUCAACUUUAUUUUGCAUGUUAACAUUUUUAUCCACAAAUCCAAUUUAUUAAUUUGUAUUUCUCAAGUCUUAUUAUUUUAAUUCGCACGAACGAGGAAGUCAUACGAGUCUCUUGGGAAAACAUACUUGGUCUUACCAUUUAUAUUACUUGUACGAUUUGGUACACUUGCCAAUUUGUCAACAUGUAUGCAGGAUAAAAAAUUUGGUACUAGGAGCACAAGAUCAUGGGGAGGCAGAUAAGGAAGGAGAAUUGGUUCACCAACACCUUGAUGUGAAAAGUGACGAACCCUAACCUGGC